UACGCCACUCCGCUGUUGGGGCUGGCGACACUACAGCCACGCCAAAAUUACACCUGGUGGCAAUUCACAGGUACUAAUCUACCCUUUGGGAACGUUUGAAAAAAAUCCUCCCCAGUUUCAGUUCAAUGCUCAGUGGGUAUAUCCAAGCAACUUUUGACUAGCAACUGCUGUUUCCAAGAAAUGUCAAAACAAAGGCAUUUUCAUUUUUCUUUCUGUUUGCUGUUAGUUUAGCAUCUUUCGCGAAUGUUUUAUAAAUUUGCUGGUUGUGCCGUUUCUACCCUGCAGAUUCUAACGGCGUGAAUGUUCCAGUCAAUAGAUCGAAAGUGUUGUGCUCUUCAAGAACGCAGCUUCGUGAGAUUCCGGAGAACUAUGAUGGUGAAAGCGAACUCAGAAACGAUGAAGCGGAAGUCUGUCUAGCCGUUCAUGGUGGAUGACAAUCAACGCUCAGUUACACAUCCGGACAAACCUAAGACCUCGACUACUGAACAAGCAAGGGCACAAAUGCUGCCCCGCCAAAGAAGCUUCUCCUGUCACAGAUGUCCUGUGAUUACCCAAAUCAUCUGGCACCUGUACAAAAAAAAAAACAGAUUCCGGUGUUCAACUACAGGUUCAACGGCGAACCUGACCGGAAAUGUUCGUCUUUUGCAUCUCGUAAAAUAAUGCAUCUUGAAACCAUGUUUUGAAUCGGUUCGAAAAGAUAGUAAAUCGGCGUCAUGUUCCAAUACUGCUAGUAGUUGUGUGUAACACAAUUGGUUUAAAUGUAUACUAUGCAAUGUAAAAUUCUUGGGAAUAAAACAAAAAUCUA